rnacentral:rRNA from 1 species
CUGCUAUCACUCUUGGAUGGGACCUGCGGUGCAUUAGCUAGUUGGUAGGGGUAAACGGGCCUACCAAGGCGAUGAUGCAUAGCCGAGUUGAGAGACUGAUCGGCCACAGUUGGGACUGAGACACGGACCCAAACUCCGUACGGGAGGCAGCAGUAGGGAAUCUUCCACAAUGGACGCAAGUCUGAUGGAGCAACGCCGCGUGAGUGAAGGUAAGGGUUUCGGCUACGUAAAGCUCUGUUGUUGGUGAAGAAGGACGAGGGGGUAGUAACUGACCUUUGUUUGACGGUAAUCAAUUAGAAAGUCACGGGCUAACUACGUGCCAGCAGCCGCGGUAAAU